GGUGAGAUGGCCGAGCGGUCUAAGGCGCCAGACUAAGGAACUCUGUGUUCAUCUGGUCCGAAAGGGCGUGGGUUCGAAUCCCACUCUCAUCA
rnacentral:tRNA from 1 species